CUAUAUUAACUUAUGUUAUUUUUAUUUCUGCAUUCUAGAUCUGCAAAAAGUGUUGAGUUAUACUGAGCUGAUUAAAAUGAAGAUCGCAGUUCUCCUUCUUCUGGUGUGUCUUGCAAAUCUCUGUGUUGUAUCGGUCAGUUGUUGUAAAAGGACUGGUGAAGACUGUGUAAGUAAGAAGUGGUGCUGUGAAGAUAAUGAUUGUGUGGUUAAUAGAAGAAAAGAUAAAGGAGAUGGUGGAGAAAAAAUAUGUUGGCCUGCAAAGUAAAAAGAAAAUGAAUGAAAGAAUCUUUAAGAAAAAAUAAACAUCUGAUUCUGGCAUUGA